rnacentral:rRNA from 1 species
UGGGUAACCUGCCUCAAAAGAGGGGAAUAGCCUCCCGAAAAGGGAGAUUAAUACCGCAUAAUAUGUUUAAGUCG